GUUGGGCCUGGUUAGUACUUGGAUGGGAGACCGCCUGGGAAUACCAGGUGCUGUAAGCUUUUUGGAAAUGUUUCACUAAUUAUAUAAGAAUCUUGCAAAAAAAAAGACUGAUCUUUAAAUAGCCCUCUCUUUGCAGCCUCCUUCGCUUACGGCCAUACCAGCCUGA
rnacentral:rRNA from 1 species